CCCCUCUCAGGGUCACACCUGGAGAGCUCCCAGUCCUCUACCAGUCUCGGCUAUGGGAGGAAAGGGUCAGGCAGAGGCAUGGCUAUUCCAUUCCUAGCUUGGACAGUGGCUAGCAAGUGGAAGGCAAUCUGCUACAAGU